CCAAUAGCGUAUAUUAAAGUUGUUGCAGUUAAAAAGCUCGUAGUUGAAUUUCGGGGUCAGUAGGUUGGUCGUGCCACUGGUACGUACUGGUCUCACUGAUUCCUCCUUCCUGAUGAACCGUAAUGCCAUUAAUUUGGUGUUGCGGGGAAACUGGACUGUUACUUUGAAAAAAUUAGAGUGUUUAAAGCAGGCUAACGCUUGAAUACAUUAGCAUGGAAUAAUGAAAUAGGACGUUCGAUCCUAUUUUGUUGGUUUCUAGGAUUGACGUAAUGAUUAAUAGGGAUAGUUGGGGGCAUUAGUAUUCAAUUGUCAGAGGUGAAAUUCUUGGAUUUAUUGAAGACUAACUACUGCGAAAGCAUUUGCCAAGGAUGUUUUCAUUAAUCAAGAACGAAAGUUAGGGGAUCGAAGACGAUCAGAUACCGUCGUAGUCUUAACCAUAAACUAUGCCGACUAGGGAUCGGAUGAUGUUAAUUUUUUAAUGACUCAUUCGGCGCCUUACG
rnacentral:rRNA from 1 species